rnacentral:lncRNA from 1 species
GGAAAGCCACCCCUGGGAAUUCAGGAGGCCAUAGAAGGUAACGAGCAGGCUUUGGGCAGAUGGAGAGAGUAGCCUUUAGUUUAUGAGGCCAGGAACAUGGGCCCUUCCCCUUCUAAUACUUCUGCGAGGAGUCUGAGGCUCUGGUGUGAAAGGAGGAUGAGGAGGAAAAGAAAGCAGCUCCUUUAGGCUUUGUAAUUCUUUUGUUGUUCCUAUAGCCUAAGGAUGAACUUGAAUUUGUACUCUAGUGAGAAGAGAGUAGGAGGUUGAGAGCAGCUGGUAGCAUCAGUAAUGUCAGUUUGCCUCUUACACAAGCCUGUCAUUUUCAGUCCACAGGGCCCCUUCUUCUUCUUGUUUGUAAAUCUCCUUUCCAAAGCAGAAACUGAGAAUAAACUCAUGUGCUUUUCUUAAAAAUUCAACCAGGAGGCCAUGUUAGUCACGCAGCUCUAAGUGUUGCAAGGGUCUGCCAGGAAGAAGCCAUUGGAAUGUGGAAUGCUUUGAGACUUUAUUCCCCAUGGAUCCUCCACAUUUCCUUAUUAUUAUCACCUUUUCUUGAUCUUGGAACUUUUUUCUGGACAUAGGAGUCAUCAGCCAGGGAGGACUAUGGAAAUGGAC